GUUAUGACUUGGGGUGAACAAUAAGAAAUGGAAAUGGACAAUUACUUAACAUUAAAGUAUAUGGAAAUGUCACUCAUAAAUAAAAAGCUAGGAUCAUAUAUGAUCAUUUGGAUACUUAUAACACAUACACAUAAAGGAGAACUGAUUAAGGUGGGUUACCCAAUAACACGUGUCACAACUUCAUAACAUAGAGUUAUCCUAAUCAAAGUGUUUUGCAGCGGAAAACGUGUGAGAUAUACAUAUGAAGAUGUAUACUCAAGGUUACAUUUCUUGAAAUGUCAAAGGAACACCCGCUCAACAUCAUUCCAUUCCAUCAGCUGCUCAACCUGCACAUUUAGAAAUACAUGCAGGGCUGAGUAUAAAAAUACUCAGUGGGCAUAGCCGAAAAUACAUUCAUGCAUACAUAUAUAAAUUGAACUGCCAACAGUAACACGCAGGGGUUUUCUUGAAUGGCCUGCGCUUACUAAAACAUUUCUUUCAUUUUCAUAAAGUCGAUCGGCCGAUCAUUUUCCUUCAUAUGAUCCAUAUCUGUUCCUUUCUAUCACGCGCCGGGAAGGAGGCCUCCUUACCACGGACGCCAAGACCGGUCGCAAGCGACUCGCGGUCUCCAUGAGUGUACACAUUAACCCUAGCUAGCGACCUUUGUCUAGCAUAGGAUCCCAAUUGGAUUUCCUUUAAAGUUGGCGAACCAACACAGAUAGGAUACAUAUAAAAACAUAAACAUUUUGGCAGUCAAUCAUUUCAUAAACAUUUCAUUUUCAUAACAUUUUCAUUUUCAUAAAGGGCAUUAAACAUAUAAGCAUUUCAUAAGAACUGAAUAAAUAGUCAAAACAUAUCAUGCAUAUAUAUUCGCAUAUGAUGCCUACGUCACGCAGGGGAUCUCUAUAUACGUAAUAAUAAAAUAAUGCCCACCUGUAUAGGCAAAGCCUGUCGUUUAACCUUAUCUCUGAAUCGGAAUAGCAGUGCUAAUCCUUCUGAUGCUCGAAGCCUACAAGAAAUCUAUUCUCAAUAGGUCUCCUUGUAUCUAAUCUUAAGUCAUGGUGUAGUGCUUAACAUUCUAUGAUUCACUUAGCCGGAUUUUCAAAAUUUAAUAAAUAAAUACUUGAAAAUAUUUCUCUUGAGUUAAGAACACCAACAAUAUUCUUACUCAAUUUUCUUAAAUAAUUGGAUUUAUAAAUAAAACCAAUUAAAUCAUAAAUACUUUUAUUGCAUGAUGCAAAUGCAUACUUAGCAUAUGGUAAGUAAUUACUUAAAAUAUGCACAUAAUAAUGAUAUAAUAUUAUUAUACAAAUCAUCUCAUGCUUAAUCGUAUAUGCACAUAAUAAUAAUAAUAAUAUUAUUAUGCAAAUUAUUCUUUAAAUAAAAAUUAUUCAAACCUUGCUAUAAGUCCAAUUAAUAAAUAAUGGGCAGCCCAUUUAAAAUAAUUAAAUCAAGGACCUCCCCCUUUUUCUUAAAAAUUUUCGCAGCCCACUAUAAAAUGGGCAGCCCAAGUUAAUUAAACAAUAAUAGGGCCAUCUAUUAAAUAAUUGAAUUAAGGCCCAACAUUUUCCUUAAAAAAAAUCGGCCCAAGUGGUAUUUAAAUAAGGCCCAUCUGUUUUAAUAAAAUAAAGGCCCAACUGAAAAUUAAACAAAGAAAAUCGGCCCACAACCAAGCCCAACACUCGGCCCAAAUUCUCAAGCCCUACAUCUCAAACUAAGCCCUAGCCCAACUCAAGCCCAUAUCUCCUCCCCCCUUUCUCAUAUCAGUCACGCACCUUCUCCCCUUUUCUCAUAUCACGCUGCUCGCCUCUCUCCCUCUCUCAGAAUUCCUCCGGCCGCGUGCCACCACUCCCGGCGACGAGCGCCGCUCAGACUCUCCUCUCCCUCAACUGCUCUCCCUUCUCUCGCGCUAAAACGGACGCCCAUCACUUCUCUCUCUCUCUCUCUCUGACAGUGGCCGAGCACAGCGGCACCUCCUCCCUCUCGAUUCAGGUCGACAGCAGCGAGGACCGCCACUGACCGCCGCUGAGCCCUCCACCUCCAUCGUUUCUCUCUCAAAUCUCUCGCUUGUUCACAGAUCCGACGGCCGUAGCAGCGGGAGCUAACCACCACCGUCCGCCGACUCCGACGCCUCACCUCUCUGUCUCCGGCAGACGACGACAACGCCGCCCCUGUCUCCCUCCGCUCAGACCAGCUCCGACCAGCCACCGCCCCACACAGGAAGAGGAAAAAGGCGGUGCCUUUGCCGCCGUGGCGUCGCCGGCGUCGAGCAGCCACCGGGCUGAAACUCACCUCCCUCUCGACUCAUCACACAAGGACAGGAGACAAAAAUUUCAAAACUUCAAAAUGAAAUCUUUUCUCUUUUCUUUUCAAUGAAUCAUGCUUUCAUGUAAAAACAGUAAAAGUGUGGAGUAUUACAGAAAAUAGAAUGAUUAUGCUUUGGUGUGUGUGAUUUCUUGGAUGCAAGAGGCUAAAUGUUUUCGUUGCUGA